rnacentral:snoRNA from 1 species
GUCCUUUUGUAGUCCAUAAGGGUGAUGAUUGGGUUUUCACGCUCAUGUGUGAGACGUGUCCCCCUCAGACCUUGUUAUGAUGUUGGCACCUUGCCCAUCUGAUG